GGAACCCUAGGGACGCAGCAGUAGGGAAUCUUCCACAAUGGGCGAAAGCCUGAUGGAGCAACGCCGCGUGGGUGAAGAAGGUCUUCGGAUCGUAAAACCCUGUUGUUAGAGAAGAAAGUGCGUGAGAGUAACUGUUCACGUUUCGACGGUAUCUAACCAGAAAGCCACGGCUAACUACGUGCCAGCAGCCGCGGUAAUACGUAGGUGGCAAGCGUUAUCCGGAUUUAUUGGGCGUAAAGAGAACGCAGGCGGUCUUUUAAGUCUGAUGUGAAAGCCUUCGGCUUAACCGG
rnacentral:rRNA from 1 species